rnacentral:misc_RNA from 1 species
CCGAGUUAGGGUCCCCCUUCGGGGGUGGCCCGACCUCCCAACCCCGUGUCUACUCAACUUGUACGUGUUGCUUCGGCGGACCGGCGUCGCAAGACCGCCGCCGGGGGGUGUCCAACCCCUUGGAGAGUGUCCGCCGAUGGCCCAACCAAACCACAUUAUCAAAACCAAAACGAUUGAACCCUCCAUUCUGAAUCAGACCAUUUUGAUAUACCAAUCAAAAACA